CACGACUCCACGAGUUCCUGUCUUCUCUUUCCUGAGCCCCCGCCGCUCCGCCGGCGGCGAUUCCUCCUCCGCCUCCCCCGCCGGACGCCGCUCCCCCUCUACAUCCCUGCCUCCGCAAUCUCUCGCGACCACGAGACCCCCACUUCUCUAAUUCUCUGCUCCGUCCAUGACCUACCCGGCGGCGACAUCCCAAUCGUUCAAAGUUUCCGAUGAUCGAUUGCUCCGCCACCGCGGGUCGGUGGAGGAAGCUGCGGAGUUACUCGAGGCUUGACCGCUGAUGGCGGCCGCACCGCCGCGUGGACCAUCGCCGACCCCGAGCCACUUGGUAUUUGUUUCGAGCAGGACUGCUGCUUCAUGCAUGUAAUCAUGCCGAGGAGCGGGGAUGAACAGAAGAAAGGAGUACUCCCAUAUUCCAGAGGCCUGUGAAGAAGUGGGGUUAAAACACCGACGAUUAAGACGGCUGCCAGGAUUCGACACGUCGGUGGGGCUACCUACAAGUCCGGAGUGGCUCGAAGACAGAGGAAUAUCCUGUUUGUUGCAAAGACCUAGAAAUGCUUGAUGAUGUACAUGUUCUACUAAGAUGGCAAAUUACAGCGACAAGGAUUGAAAUUAAAGAGGGCCAUAUAAACGUCAAAAGAAAUUAGCUGUGAAGGUCAUGCCAAUCUCCAAACCGGCAUGUUUAGCAUGCAUGAUCGGAGCCAUCUUGCACGUACGGAUCACUAGGCCCUGGCACGUCCGGAUCUGUCAUAACCUGAUCAAGAACAGCACCAAACGACAUACUCAUCAUCAUUAGGUGAGGGCGGCACAGACCAGUGUGAAGAAAGACCUCAUGUCGCCGCCCUGGACCUCGACGCGCGGCUUGGACACGACCGCCGACGGGAAGAACUCGUGGCCGUUGAACACCUGCUUGUUGGAGCUGUAGGUCGCCGUCAUCUUCACCGUGGGGUUGAAGUUGUCGAUGACUUCUCCGAUCACCUUCCCGACGACGAGAGGCUCCAGCACCCUAGACAUGGCGAGCUGCAGGGGCUUGAGCUAUAGGGAGCUUGCUAGCUACCGGACUGGAGGGAGGAGAGAAGGCGAAUGUUGGUGAUGAGAAGGGCUGGUAGUGUAGGUAAACACGAGAUAAACAGUCUCGAGUGGUCGCUGUCUUGCUGCUCACAAUGUGAAGCCGGGGCUCUAUUUAUAGCUGCGUGAAGCCGAUGGAUCGAACUGAUAAGGGAAAUGUAUAAAUAAAUGUGAGGUACUAAAAAAACACUUAAAUUGUCUCAUCUCCGUCGUCUUUGCCUAAUUGUACCUGAAUUGUUAAACUGAUGCACAGCUCCAAAAGGCUUAAAUUAUUCCACUCUUUUAUCUUUCAAUGAGCCUAUUAGGGGAGCUUAGACCAAUUUCAAUAUAUAGUUUUAUGGCAUAGUUAUCAAGACUGUAAACUAGUUA